rnacentral:tRNA from 1 species
GGCUCAAUGGUCUAGAAGCAUGAUACCUGCUUUGGGUGCAGGUGGUCCCGGGUUCAAUUCCCGGUUGGGCCC